GCAAGUCGAACGGUAGCACAGAGAGCUUGCUCUCGGGUGACGAGUGGCGGACGGGUGAGUAAUGUCUGGGAAACUGCCUGAUGGAGGGGGAUAACUACUGGAAACGGUAGCUAAUACCGCAUAACGUCGCANGACCAAAGAGGGGGACCUUCGGGCCUCUUGCCAUCAGAUGUGCCCAGAUGGGAUUAGCUAGUAGGUGGGGUAACGGCUCACCUAGGCGACGAUCCCUAGCUGGUCUGAGAGGAUGACCAGCCACACUGGAACUGAGACACGGUCCAGACUCCUACGGGAGGCAGCAGUGGGGAAUAUUGCACAAUGGGCGCAAGCCUGAUGCAGCCAUGCCGCGUGUAUGAAGAAGGCCUUCGGGUUGUAAAGUACUUUCAGCGGGGAGGAAGGUGUUGUGGUUAAUAACCACAGCAAUUGACGUUACCCGCAGAAGAAGCACCGGCUAACUCCGUGCCAGCAGCCGCGGUAAUACGGAGGGUGCAAGCGUUAAUCGGAAUUACUGGGCGUAAAGCGCACGCAGGCGGUCUGUCAAGUCGGAUGUGAAAUCCCCGGGCUCAACCUGGGAACUGCAUUCGAAACUGGCAGGCUAGAGUCUUGUAGAGGGGGGUAGAAUUCCAGGUGUAGCGGUGAAAUGCGUAGAGAUCUGGAGGAAUACCGGUGGCGAAGGCGGCCCCCUGGACAAAGACUGACGCUCAGGUGCGAAAGCGUGGGGAGCAAACAGGAUUAGAUACCCUGGUAGUCCACGCCGUAAACGAUGUCGACUUGGAGGUUGUGCCCUUGAGGCGUGGCUUCCGGAGCUAACGCGUUAAGUCGACCGCCUGGGGAGUACGGCCGCAAGGUUAAAACUCAAAUGAAUUGACGGGGGCCCGCACAAGCGGUGGAGCAGGUGGUUUAAUUCGAUGCAACGCGAAGAACCUUACCUACUCUUGACAUCCAGAGAACUUUCCAGAGAUGGAUUGGUGCCUUCGGGAACUCUGAGACGGUGCUGCAGGGCUGUCGUCAGCUCGUGUUGUGAAAUGUUGGGUUAAGUCCCGCAACGAGCGCACCCUUAUCCUUGUUGCCGCGGUCCGGCCGGAACUCAAGGAAACGCCGUGAUAACUGGAGAAAGGUGGGAUGACUUCAGUCAUCAGGCCUUACA
rnacentral:rRNA from 1 species